GCGUGAAGACAACAGUGUGCAAUGGAAGUUGGGAAAUAUUUAGAAAACUUGCAAGCAGCUUGUGUUACAUUGUUCCUUUCUCAAAUGAUCCGUGGAUGGUUUUCACCUCUGCUUGGAAGCAGGAUGUUUCAAGACCUCAGUAGCUGCUACAAAAAGAAAUAGCUAUUCUCCAAGAAGAUCUAAUUAGAUUUGCUCCAGCAAACAUCGGACACAGCCGGAAUAUGAGUCACCUAGAAAUGGAAGCAAAGCAAAGCUUACAACACUCCAGAAACCCAUACUGCUGCUGCCAGCAAUGAGGUUGCAGCAUCCUCGACAUUGCCCAGGCCCCAGCUCCAUUUGAUGCAGAAGAGAGAGGAGGCAAAGCUGUGGUCAUCUGUUCUUUGGAAAGAUAUUU